CAGGUAACGUGCUGCAGCCCGGAGCCGGUGCUGUGAUGGCCAGGGUGGCUCACUUCCUCAGCGGGUUUCCGGACACGGUGCCGUGUUACACCGUCAACCGGCAAUGUUCCUCCGGCCUGCAGGCUGUGUUCAACAUCGCAGACUCGACCGGUACCGGUGUUACACCCCUACUGGUUUUCAAACCUACUGGUUUCCCUACGCGUGCGUGUGUUGUGUUCUCUUCACAUCUGCAGCGGGGCUCUGUCUCGCUCACCAGAUUCGUCACACAUUCACAAACAUAUUGCUGGAGAUCUUCAAGCCUCCGUUCAUAUCCAUUUCGGCGAUUACGAUUGUAUAAGUGAGCAGUGCAUCACAGCCACGUAGGAAGAAAUACAUUUAAUAAAAAAUAAAAAUAAAAAGAUCGCCCGACCUGGUUUCGAUCUCUGUCACGCAAAAUGAAACUGCACUCUAAGCCGCGCAGUCUGUGCGCUGCGCCACCAGAUAUUAGUUUCAACUCAAGUAAUUGAUAUAUUCAACCAUUACGUCACAUCUUUUGUUUCAUGGAACAGUUUGGCGGAGGGGAUCUGAAACAACUGGUUACCUUGUUAGGAUAUUUACACUUUGAAACAUGUUUAGCGAUGCUUGUUCGCAACGCAACAGCCACACAAUACCGACAACAACUAAUUGACUUUCGUGACGAGUAUAUAAUGACGAUGGUACUGUGAACAGAGAUUAGAAACAUUGCGAACACUGAACAACAGGAAGAAUGGAAUACUAGUAAUGUUCCAUCGACAAAACAAUGUAGAACAUAUUGCUGGAGCUCUUGAAGCCACAUGUCACAUCUAUUUACGA